UACGUAGGGUGCAAGCGUUGUCCGGAAUUAUUGGGCGUAAAGAGCUCGUAGGCGGUCUGUUGCGUCGGCUGUGAAAACCCGGGGCUCAACCCCGGGCCUGCAGCCGAUACGGGCAGACUAGAGUUCGGCAGGGGAGACUGGAAUUCCUGGUGUAGCGGUGAAAUGCGCAGAUAUCAGGAGGAACACCGGUGGCGAAGGCGGGUCUCUGGGCCGAUACUGACGCUGAGGCGCGAAGGCUAGGGGAGCGAACGGG
rnacentral:rRNA from 1 species